rnacentral:rRNA from 1 species
AUUGAACGCUGGCGGCAGGCCUAACACAUGCAAGUCGAACGGUAACAGGAAACAGCUUGCUGUUUCGCUGACGAGUGGCGGACGGGUGAGUAAUGUCUGGGAAACUGCCUGAUGGAGGGGGAUAACUACUGGAAACGGUAGCUAAUACCGCAUAACGUCGCAAGUCCAAAGAGGGGGACCCUCGGGCCUCUUGCCAUCGGAUUUGCCCAGAUGGGAUUAGCUUGUUGGUGGGGUAACGGCUCACCAAGGCGACGAUCCCUAGCUGGUCUGAGAGGAUGACCAGCCACACUGGAACUGAGACACGGUCCAGACUCCUACGGGAGGCAGCAGUGGGGAAUAUUGCACAAUGGGCGGAAGCCUGAUGAAGACAAGCCGCGUGUAUGAAGAAGGCCUUCGGGUUGUAAAGUACUUUCAGCGGGGAGGAAGGGAGUAAAGUUAAUCCCUUUACUCAUUGACGUUACCCGACGCAGAAGCACCGGCUAACUCCGUG